GUAACAACCUUUAGAAAUUAGGGGAUUUUCUAAGAUUGGCCUCAGUUUGUAGAAAACAAGAAAAGAUAUGAGAUUUUUAUCCUCAAAUAAGAGGUAAUAGUUGAGUGGGUCUCUUCUCUACUAGAGGGAGUACGUCCUAGAUGGAUGUUCCUAAAGUUAUUGCCUCAAAAUACCAAUCCUUGGUGUCUCAUCCCUUUCCGCCUCAUAUUGAUCCAUGUCUUGCAGAUGGAAUCAAUGAGGUAGUUAUUCAGAUAUGCCUGUAGUCCCUAGUUCUACUAAUUUGAUAGGACCCCAGUGGGAUGCAUAACUCACUUGGCAGAUUACUUCCCUGUAGAGGAAGUAUGGAGCUUUUUACUCCCGUAGGACUCUUUUCAAGGGCAUCACCAGGUCUUUGUCGCAGGUGGAUAUAAAUAUGAGGAAACUUAAGGAGACGAUUACUGCCUUAGAAAAAAGGUUUGCAACUCAAAGAAUUGCUCUUUUGUAGAUAAGGAGACACAAGCAAAGUUAAACCUCAAAGUUAAAAAUCUUUCUAAUAGAGUCAAGAGUGCAGAGACAAUAACUGAUCAGGACUUUCAUAAUUAUUCACAACUGUGCACCCAUUUGAAAGAGAAAUUUGUUGAAGGAGUGAUAGCUCAGGCUGAAGUACAGCUUCUCUAGGGGAGGUAAAAUUUGUCGGUUGGUUAAAGUAUACCUUUUACUAAAAAUUGGAGAAGGUUAAGUUCAUUCGAGGAAAGUUAGAGAAGAUCUAGGCUCGAUGCUCAUCCAUGAUGGACUAUUUUGUGAGCAUCCGUCAUGAAGAGAUUUGGGUGUAAAAGUUGGGUAUCCAUGAGAAGGUUCUAGCCAAACCUUUAUUGAUUGAGAAAGAAUUUUAAAAUGUUUGAGCAGCUAACCAUAUCAAUAUUGGUUCACCCUUCAACCCUACGGAAGUGGCCUCUUCCCUAGACGACUCGUCCUUCGGAGGCAAUUUGAAGAAGCAUCAGGCUCUUAGGCUAGGGUACCUGAAACCUGUGUCCAUUCCAAUAUUUAUUUCUUUAUUUCCUAGAAUUUGAACUAUCUUAGGGUCUUCUUUCAUUAUUUUAUUUUUGAGAGUUUGUCGUACUGGAUUUAUGUUAUGUUGUGCUAUUCAAGCUAUCUUGUCAUUUCUCUUCUCUUUUAUUAUUACUGUUAUUUUGU